GGCAAAGCUUCAUUAAAAGGAAUCCCAGAUAAUUUGGUUGAGUCUGUAUUUUCCAGUGAUGAUGACUGAGGAGGCUCUGUUUUUAAAUGCUAUAACCAGCACGAUUCAUUUCAGUGGCUCCUGAAGAGAGGGCUUUGACGGGAGUUGCUGGUCUGCAAAGAGUCCAGCUUUGUUUUUAGCAGAGACACAUCGGCCUCCUUUUCUCCCUCUUCAGCCCCUGCCUGCCCUCUCGUCGUGCUCUUUCCCUUGUGCAGAUCCAAAUCUGCUGCUGGGCAUUUUUAGUCGAGCUAAGCUGUCGCAGAGAUAAGUUCUGCGCCCACUUCUCUGUGCCCAAGGUGGCGUCUUUCUUCUCUCCCCAGAAGGGGUAACUCCACAGCUAUUUGGCAUGUCCCACCCCCAUCUUCUACAAAUCGCUAUUGGACUGAAGACAGAUGACAGAAUUGGAACAGGAUCAGGGAAACCUUCUACUUGGAGAAGUAUCCCCAAGUUACAAGGUCUUGCUACCCCUGGGACCCACAGAUACACCCAUUGAUUGGUCCUGGCCUGUCUUCCUCCAGUGAUGGCGCUUCCAGACCAGCUUGGCAAGGGCCACAUAUUUCUCUCUCAAAACAAGGCACUAGGCUUAAGACAUAGUUCCUGGAUCUCUUGGGAUCUGCUUGAAGUUGCAAGAUUUCUGAUACAACAGCUACCUGUCUCUUAGCAGGGAUAAAUUUCACACUUGGAUUCAAACAUCAAUUGUACAAACGCGAUAUGGCAGAGAUGGGCCCUACCAGCAGACCAUGUGGAAAAGGACUGAGGAGGUUUUAUUAAUGACACAUAAGUGUGAGUCAACAGCAGCCAUUGAAAUGCACACAAGGCCGGGCGUGG
rnacentral:lncRNA from 1 species